rnacentral:pre_miRNA from 1 species
AAUAAGUACAACCAUCAGUUUUCACGUUUAAUUUUUGAUCGUCCGUCUUUUUUUAAAAAAAAUUAUAAUUAGCAUUUUUAUUGUUAUGAGAUGAUAAAACAUGAAUAAUACUUUACUCGUGACUUAUGUUUUUAAUUUUUUUAAAAAUAUUUUUAAAUAAGACGUACGGUUAAAGUUAGGUACGAAAAAUUAUGGCUGCACUUGUU